rnacentral:rRNA from 1 species
CAAGAUAGUGAUAUUAAGCAAAACCCAAAAAGCAGUCUCAGUUCGGAUUGAAGGCUGAAAUUCGCCUUCAUGAAGCCGGAAUUGCUAGUAAUGGCAGGUCAGCAUACUGCCGUGAAUACGUUCCCGGGUCUUGUACACACCGCCCGUCACACCAUGGGAGUCGGAAAUGCCCGAAGUCUGUGACCCAACCGUAAGGAGGGAGCAGCCGAAGGCAGGUCGGAUGACUGGGGUGAAGUCGUAACAAGGUACC